CGCAGUUCAGCGAAGAGUGUAAACGUGUACGUCCAUAUAUCUGAACCGAAUAAAAACUGGGUGUGAAUACAUUAUGGUCACAAUGGAGCGCAGGAAUCGGAGAUGGGCUGAACCAACGAUUAUAUUCUAAUCCAUAUUGCCAGGAGCUUGGCAACGGACGCUAAUGAAGUUAAGAAAUUGAAUAGUUGACCCGCAAUCAAUACAGUUCUCGAUAAGUUCUUAGAGAAACACAUAACAAGACCGUUCGCUUGUCACAGCGCUGAUAGCUAUCUUCGCAGAGGUUCUCAUGUACGGUUGGUACUCUUCAUACCUAGCCCAACUCACAGCGGAUGGAUUAUCACUUCCCAUCACGACAUACAGCCGAGGUCUUCUCGGUUCCCUCUUUGCUUAGCCUUGGAAGACUGGAGGAAUUGUGGGUUCUACAGCGGGGCCGAGGAACCACGACGUUCUAGGCUUAACUUCCAAUCCGAGUGAACCACGAUCAGUCGGUCCGGAUCACCCCGAGGAAGGCGGCAAGAAGAACUUGCGGAUGAUGAAACUUCUUCCCGUUUCCUCAUCCCUCGUGCCAGAGCCCAAAGUCAGCAAACUGCUCCCUCUCCGGGUCAAGUUGCACUUAAAUGAGCUUUGCUCGCUACAUCUGAAAUUGAAUGCAACCCAUUCGCUUCAAGUCAUAGCAAAUCAUAACGUAGGAGAAAAUUUGUUAAAGCUUUUGAAUAACUAGUCCAUCUUGCGUUUUGGAACUCAUAGAAAGAUAUCAUCAUUCCACGGAUAUUUUGUAAAAAAAAUUAUUCAAAAUCCAGUUUACUUAUUUUUCUAUUCCAAAUGAAUAAAAAAGCCAAGUUACUAGUUAA
rnacentral:misc_RNA from 1 species